GGAAGUCCGGUGUGAAUCCGGCAUGGUCGCGCCACUGUGUGCUGCGGCGACUGCCCCUGGGGGUUGCCGCAGCGAGUCAGAC
rnacentral:ncRNA from 1 species